rnacentral:rRNA from 2 species
UAGGGAAUCUUCGGCAAUGGACGAAAGUCUGACCGAGCAACGCCGCGUGAGUGAAGAAGGUUUUCGGAUCGUAAAACUCUGUUGUUAGAGAAGAACAAGGACGUUAGUAACUGAACGUCCCCUGACGGUAUCUAACCAGAAAGCCACGGCUAACUACGUGCCAGCAGCCGCGGUAAUACGUAGGUGGCAAGCGUUGUCCGGAUUUAUUGGGCGUAAAGCGAGCGCAGGCGGUUUCUUAAGUCUGAUGUGAAAGCCCCCGGCUCAACCGGGGAGGGUCAUUGGAAACUGGGAGACUUGAGUGCAGAAGAGGAGAGUGGAAUUCCAUGUGUAGCGGUGAAACGCGUAGAUAUAUGGAGGAACACCAGUGGCGAAGGCGGCUCUCUGGUCUGUAACUGACGCUGAGGCUCGAAAGCGUGGGGAGCAAACAGG